CUCAAGACAACGUACUGUGGGAUUAAAAUUGGCCACAACUUUAUUAUGUUUCAGAUGUGGGUAGAACUUGGCUUGGGCAUUGGGCGUUUAUCCCUCCCAGUCCCCCGCCAGGGAUCUGGGGAACAUCAGGGUUAUCCAGAGUGGGGGGUGGGUGGGCUGGCUCUGGAGAACAUAUGUUCAAGCAGAGAGAGCCCACCCCCAUUAUGCCACCAUCGCAGGGGAGAGCAAUGACAACCUCCCGGCGUACGUCCAAAGCCUCCCCUCAAAACAACCCCUUUAGCAGGGAACCCUGGUAUCGCCGCCGCAAAGAGAAGGGGGGCAUGAGUCACCGCUACAUGCCCACCCCCAAUUUAGGGAAGAUAGACUUGGGUAUCAGCCCAAGGUCUGAUACCGCCAAAGUUGUGACGUUUUGUUACGGGAACGGCAAACCUGCCAAUUCCUUUCCAGAGAAUUCCAGGAGAAUUCCUUUCCGGCCCUUCAACAGCGAUCUUGACGUAGCAGCACCCAUGUACCUGUGGAGAAAAGGUUAACCUGCAAAAGAAAUCUUAACUGAGGGUGGGAGAAGCUCUGGAGCCAACUGACGAUUCCCAGGUAAGAUCCUCCCCCUAUUGUGUGGGCAAGGUGGUCCCUCCCCCUACCUGGCCUGAUCACCUUGGCAACACCUCCCCAGGCGGGACUGGCCGAUUGGCUAAGGUAGGCGGACACCUCCAGGUAUCCCACCUGGGGAAGGCGAAGCCAAGCCUGUGUUAAUGGUGCCGCAUAGGGUCCAGGGGGCUGCGCAUGACCACGCAGAGGGCGCCCCCCAUUUAAUGUGGGGAGCUGUCAUUGUGAGUGGCCUCUCUUCCAUCCUUCAAAGCAUCUGUCCAGGAACCUAUAGCCUCCCUGUAUAUUCUCACGUCCUGAAAACCUGUGAAGCUGCUAUUUGCAUUGCUAGUGGGCACUGGCAGUCACUCCCUCACUGGUAGCAUCACUUUCCUGUGAUCUCUGAUGCUCUUCUGGCAUCAGUAAUCUCAGAUGUUUCUGCACUUCAGAUACCUGUCCUGCAUUAAAGUGCUCAUUUCUACAGCUGCCACAAGAUGUCAUACAGAUGGCCUCUGGAUGAGACAAUUUUAAGGGGGCGUUAUACAAAUUCCUGGAAGGGGCAUGUGUCUUGUCAAUGGCUAUUAGCUUUGGAGGAGCAAUUUUCAUUUGCAGCGCAGAAAAAGAAGAAGGAAGAAUUAAACUCUCCCUCUCCACCUGCUGCGUUCCUAAUAAUUAUCAAAUCCAGUGACUGCUAUUUGCAUUUUUUGAAAUGAGCACAUUAAAUGCAAGGGCAUGUUUAAUGCCACAUCUAUAUUGGCCCUUAAUCUAUGCUAAUAUUUAAUUUGGGAGGCUCAAGGAUCCUGUUGUGGAAAUGAAUCAUGCAUACUCACUGAGUGGUGGGGGAGAGAGAGAAUCGCAAAGAGCUUUUACCUGGUAAACACAUUUGCUUUGUUUAGCCUUUUAUCAAGAGGAAGAAAACUGCAAAGCAAGUUUCCUUUUUUAAAAAAAGCAGGGAACAGCUUGUUUCCAUGACAUUUGUACAAUAAGCUAUAUCUAAAUGACAAGCAGAUUGGUGGAAAAACAAUGUUUUACUGCCCUUUUCUCCUUUGAUCCUUGAUGUCUUAAGUAAAUGAAAAGGCACAGGUUUAUAGGCAAAGAUCACCCGUUAUGAAUUGACAAGCUGCACAGAAUCCUGAAAGUAUGAGAAUCAAAGUUGUGUAUCGCUGUCCAGAGUAACAUUAGAUCUGGACCUUCAAAGGUAAGGAAUGGCUGGGGAAGUAGCCAGUUGGUAUGGGCAGAGUUUUCUCAUUUCUGACUCUGUUACACUUGCCUCACACAGGGGUCCUGCAUAGGAGUCUUGGCCUGCAGUCAGAGAAAGUAGAACACCCCCCAACAUGUGGAAAUAAACAAGACGAUCCACAGUGGGAAAGGUCAGAGAGGAAGGAGACACUGCCGAUACCUGACCUAACCCAAAGACUUCCUUUUGAGAACUCUUCCUCAGAAAUCCGUGAUUAAACAUCCCCUUGGAACAUCAGCUCCCCAAAGGAGCUGCAAGAACAACAUAGCCAUACAGGUAAGCAAGAAGGGCUCAUCAUGCUUCCAAGCAUGACUUCUAAGCAUCCCCUCUUCUUCCCCCAAACAAGGGAUACAGUGCUGGCCAACACCAGCACCGAUGCAGCUUACCUGGCUAUGGCUGGGGCAGCAUGCACAGUGGCAGUGAGGUUUGGGUUGUGUAGGCACACCAGCAUGAGCAUCAGAUUGGCUCCACCUGUGAACCCACACAACCCCACACAAUCUCGCAGCUGCCCUUACCCACUCUAGCCCAUCCAGGUGAUCUGUCAUGACACCAGUGCCAGGAAGGCAGCUCUGCAACCCUGCCCCGCCAUGUUGGCUGAAACUGCCCUAGAGCAAGCACAAGCAAACUCGGGCCCCCCCAGAUGUUUUGGGACUACAACUCCCAUCAUCCCUGACCACUGGUCCUGUUAGCUAAGGAUGAUGGGAGUUGUAGUCCCGAAACACCUGGAGGGCCGAGUUUGCCUAUGCCUGCCCUAGAGUGUUUCUCCUUCCACUUAAAUGUGUUGAAAUUAUACGGACUAAACAACUCUCCCUUACGCAACAAUCAGCAGCAGUGCUUCCUGAAAAAGGGGCUGCCACCACAACUCCGUGAGCUUCUGCCAUGGAAUGGGAAAGGCAGCGAGAAGCACCCCUGUGAAUGAACCCAAAAUGCUAAAAAUUCCACUGGGGAAAAUGGUUAUGUCCCUGUGGAGAUGGCAGUAUAUAGUCAGUAGCUCAUGUGCUUCUGGCUUGCACUCUUUAUGAAGAUUUGAGGAGUGAAGUUAUUACCCCUCUAUUAUUGUCCAUGUCGGGUCGCUCCACCAUUGCUACUGUGCCCUUUCUUUUAGCAGAUCAAGAUGAUCAGGUGACAGCAAAAACUGCAAGGUUUUUAGCGGGGGCAAUUAGAAUAAGAUCUAUUAUUUGUUUAUUGAUGUAAAGCCCCAAAAUGUAUUUUCUCUGGUUAAGUUUUUACCUCUACCUUCAGUACAUUUAUUUUAUUUUAUUUUAUUGCUAUGGCUGGUGGCUGGUGCAAAUAAAGAUUCUUCUCCUGCAAAAUUUUUAGCGGGGGCAAUUCGAAUAAGAUCCGUUGUUUGAUUACUGAUGUAAACCUCCAAAAUGUAUUUUGCAUAGUUAAGUUUUUACCUCUUUCUUCCGUACAUUUUAUUUCAUUUUAUUUCUAUGGCUAGUGGCUGAUGCAAAUAAAGAUUCUUCUUCUUCUGAACACAAAAUGCUGUAUUCCAGCUAUUCCUACAACUAGGUGAGUGCACGGCCAAUGGAAGAGUAGUGAGUUUGACUGAGGCAAUAGAAAAGCAGCUGUGUGAGGACAUCCUUUCUCAGUUAUGCAUUUUCAACAAACCCCUGGUUUCAGCUCCUACCCCAUUAUAUCUAAACUUACCAGGCCUUUCUCAUCUCUCCACAGGAAAUGAUGUUCCCUCAGCAGUGCCAGGAAGACCACAAGUGAUGCAGCGGAAGUGGUGGUUGGCAAGAAGUCAGAUGUUCAGAUGUGGGGCUGCUGCUGUUUUCUUCCCAGGGGUCAUGUGCCCUUCAAGAAAUGCAUGGCAAACAGUUACAUUCAUGCACAUCACAGGGAAAGAUGGCACCCUCCUAUCCUGUUACACAGCUUCAAAAGGCACAGUAACUCUGCAAGAAGAAAAAAGAUUGACAUCCAGGACUCGCUCCAUAACUGAUCAUUCAAUAAUAAUAAAAAACAACCCCCGUGUUUCAGCUGUGUCUCUUAUUCUAGUGGUUAGCAGAUUGAAAUCCUUCCCCCUGACUGCUCAUCUGAGAGGACUCACAGUGGCAGCGUUGCAUGGAUGAGGAGGUUCUUCAUUGUCACACCAUACAAGGUCUGAGGGAGUGCAUCUGUGGAGCACCAAUAUUCUCCUGAAUGCCCCCAUACUGCUAGUGAUAAAGCCGAAAUCUGCAUGAAGUGUGCAGGGUGGGGAGCAGUAAAUAACAAGGUCUGUUGAGUAACUAGCAGGCCCAGGAAAUCAACCUGAUGAAAAUGUGGGGAGCAUAACUUGGAGGGGUGAAGGAGGUUGGUCAAUAUCAAAGGUAUCCUGGGGUACUGCGAUGGGGUUAAACAAGCCAUUCCCAACGUGGUGUCCUCCAGCAUGGCCAAUGUUCUGGGGUGAUGGGAAUCAAAGUCCAACUGUAAGACAGCAGGUUGGGGAAUCCUGGAUUAGAUUAGACCAUGACCUCUGGCCAAGAGUAUUGUUAGCCCAGAAAUGGAAACAACAAGAGAUUCCGACGAAAGAAGAAUGCAGUCGAAAUUAAUGUAAUAUGCAGAAUUGGACAAAAUGACAGGAAGGAUUCGAAACCUGCGGGACCAGAGAGUUACAGAAGAUUGGAAGAAGUAUAUGAAUUAUUUGAAGAGCAACU